rnacentral:lncRNA from 1 species
ACCUCCUCCUCCUCCACCACCCGCAGCAGCUCCAGCCGCGGCUUCACCACCUCACCGCUAAACGUAGGCAGCGGGCGGAGGAAUACCAACUCUCGGUGUUUACGGGCUUCAUUUGUUGUCGGUGGUGGCAAACACGGGCUCGCGUGCACGGGUUAGUUCCCCUCCGCGUGCGCCCGUCCGCAGACGUAGAGCGUGCUUUCCCCCCCUCACGCAGCGACUAGAGCGCUAUGGAGAGGAAGUGACACCACGCCAAGCCACGACUGAGCGCUUACGUCACAACUCCUCUCUCCUCAAGACAGCAAAAGAGGAAUGGAGUGCCAGUGUGCCCUGCACCAGUGAUUGGGGUAUGUAGCAAAUCUCCUACUUGGGUAUCCCAUUGCGUACAUAAAGUGUGUGCUGUUUGUCUGGGAAGUGUCCCCAAAACACUAUUAGAUGUGAACAUUU